GGUUAAGCGACUAAGCGUACACGGUGGAUGCCUAGGCAAUCAGAGGCGAUGAAGGACGUGCUAAUCUGCGAAAAGCGUCGGUAAGGUGAUAUGAACCGUUAUAACCGACGAUGUCCGAAUGGGGAAACCCAGUGCAAUUCGUUGCACUAUCGUUUGAUGAAUCCAUAGUCAAACGAGGCGAACCGGGGGAACUGAAACAUCUCAGUACCCCGAGGAAAAGAAAUCAACCGAGAUUCCCCUAGUAGCGGCGAGCGAACGGGGAGCAGCCCAGAGUCUUAAUCAGCAUCAGCAUCAGGAGAACGGUCUGGAAAGGCCGGCAAUAAAGGGUGAUAGCCCCGUAUCCGAAGGUGUUGGUGUUGUGAACUCGACGAGUAGGGCGGGACACGUGUUAUCCUGUCUGAAUAUGGGGGGACCAUCCUCCAAGGCUAAAUACUCCUGAUUGACCGAUAGUGAACCAGUACCGUGAGGGAAAGGCGAAAAGAACCCCGGCGAGGGGAGUGAAAUAGAACCUGAAACCGUGUACGUACAAGCAGUGGGAGCCUUGAUUUAUCAGGGUGACUGCGUACCUUUUGUAUAAUGGGUCAGCGACUUAUAUUCUGUAGCAAGGUUAACCGAAUAGGGGAGCCGUAGGGAAACCGAGUCUUAACUGGGCGAAUGAGUUGCAGGGUAUAGACCCGAAACCCGGUGAUCUAGCCAUGGGCAGGUUGAAGGUUGGGUAACACUAACUGGAGGACCGAACCGACUAAUGUUGAAAAAUUAGCGGAUGACUUGUGGCUGGGGGUGAAAGGCCAAUCAAACCGGGAGAUAGCUGGUUCUCCCCGAAAGCUAUUUAGGUAGCGCCUCGUGAACUCAUCUUCGGGGGUAGAGCACUGUUUCGGCUAGGGGGUCAUCCCGACUUACCAACCCGAUGCAAACUACGAAUACCGAAGAAUGUUAUCACGGGAGACACACGGCGGGUGCUAACGUUCGUCGUGAAGAGGGAAACAACCCAGACCGCCAGCUAAGGUCCCAAAGUCAUGGUUAAGUGGGAAACGAAGUGGGAAGGCUCAGACAGCCAGGAUGUUGGCUUAGAAGCAGCCAUCAUUUAAAGAAAGCGUAAUAGCUCACUGGUCGAGUCGGCCUGCGCGGAAGAUGUAACGGGGCUAAACCAUGCACCGAAGCUGCGGCAGCGACAUGUAAAUGUUGUUGGGUAGGGGAGCGUUCUGUAAGCCUGUGAAGGUGUGCUGCGAGGCAUGCUGGAGGUAUCAGAAGUGCGAAUGCUGACAUAAGUAACGAUAAUGCGGGUGAAAAACCCGCACGCCGGAAGACCAAGGGUUCCUGUCCAACGUUAAUCGGGGCAGGGUGAGUCGACCCCUAAGGCGAGGCAGAAAUGCGUAGUCGAUGGGAAACAGGUUAAUAUUCCUGUACUGGUGAUAAUUGCGAUGGGGGGACGGAGAAGGCUAGGCUGGCCGGGCGACGGUUGUCCCGGUUUAAGGAUGUAGGUGGGCGAAUUAGGCAAAUCCGGUUCGCUAUACACUGAGGUCUGAUGACGAGUCACUACGGUGGCGAAGUAGCUCAUGCCCCGCUUCCAGGAAAAGCCUCUAAGCUCUAGAUUAUCAUUAAUCGUACCCCAAACCGACACAGGUGGUCAGGUAGAGAAUACUCAGGCGCUUGAGAGAACUCGGGUGAAGGAACUAGGCAAAAUGGUGCCGUAACUUCGGGAGAAGGCACGCUGGCACUAGGUGAAGUCCCUUGCGGAUGGAGCUGAAGCCAGUCGCAGAUACCAGCUGGCUGCAACUGUUUAUUAAAAACACAGCACUGUGCAAACACGAAAGUGGACGUAUACGGUGUGACGCCUGCCCGGUGCUGGAAGGUUAAUUGAUGGGGUUAUCCGUAAGGAGAAGCUCUUGAUCGAAGCCCCAGUAAACGGCGGCCGUAACUAUAACGGUCCUAAGGUAGCGAAAUUCCUUGUCGGGUAAGUUCCGACCUGCACGAAUGGCGUAAUGAUGGCCAGGCUGUCUCCACCCGAGACUCAGUGAAAUUGAACUCGCUGUGAAGAUGCAGUGUACCCGCGGCAAGACGGAAAGACCCCGUGAACCUUUACUAUAGCUUGACACUGAACAUUGAGCCUUGAUGUGUAGGAUAGGUGGGAGGCUUUGAAGUGUGGACGCCAGUCUGCAUGGAGCCAACCUUGAAAUACCACCCUUUAAUGUUUGAUGUUCUAACGUUGCCCCGUGAUCCGGGGUGCGGACAGUGUCUGGUGGGUAGUUUGACUGGGGCGGUCUCCUCCCAAAGCGUAACGGAGGAGCACGAAGGUUGGCUAAGCAUGGUCGGACAUCAUGCGGUUAGUGCAAAGGCAUAAGCCAGCUUGACUGCGAGAGUGACGGCUCGAGCAGGUACGAAAGUAGGUCUUAGUGAUCCGGUGGUUCUGAAUGGAAGGGCCAUCGCUCAACGGAUAAAAGGUACUCCGGGGAUAACAGGCUGAUACCGCCCAAGAGUUCAUAUCGACGGCGGUGUUUGGCACCUCGAUGUCGGCUCAUCACAUCCUGGGGCUGAAGUAGGUCCCAAGGGUAUGGCUGUUCGCCAUUUAAAGUGGUACGCGAGCUGGGUUUAGAACGUCGUGAGACAGUUCGGUCCCUAUCUGCCGUGGGCGUUGGAAGAUUGAAAGGGGCUGCUCCUAGUACGAGAGGACCGGAGUGGACGCACCGCUGGUGUUCGGGUUGUCAUGCCAAUGGCACUGCCCGGUAGCUAAGUGCGGAAGAGAUAACCGCUGAAAGCAUCUAAGCGGGAAACUUGCCUUGAGAUGAGUCUUCCCUGACUCUUUAAGGGUCCUAAAGGAACGUUUAAGACGAAGACGUUGAUAGGCUGGGUGUGUAAGCGUAGCGAUACGUUGAGCUAACCAGUACUAAUGAACCGUGAGGCUUAACCUG
rnacentral:rRNA from 1 species